rnacentral:rRNA from 1 species
AGUCGAACGGGAUCCAUCAGGCUUUGCUUGGUGGUGAGAGUGGCGCAACGGGUGAGUAAUGCGUGACCGACCUGCCCCAUACACCGGAAUAGCUCCUGGAAACGGGUGGUAAUGCCGGAUGCUCCGACUCCUCGCAUGGGGUGUCGGGAAAGAUUUCAUCGGUAUGGGAUGGGGUCGCGUCCUAUCAGGUAGUCGGCGGGGUAACGGCCCACCGAGCCUACGACGGGUAGCCGGCCUGAGAGGGCGACCGGCCACAUUGGGACUGAGAUACGGCCCAGACUCCUACGGGAGGCAGCAGUGGGGAAUAUUGCACAAUGGGCGCAAGCCUGAUGCAGCGACGCCGCGUGCGGGAUGACGGCCUUCGGGUUGUAAACCGCUUUUGAUCGGGAGCAAGCCUUCGGGUGAGUGUACCUUUCGAAUAAGCACCGGCUAACUACGUGCCAGCAGCCGCGGUAAUACGUAGGGUGCAAGCGUUAUCCGGAAUUAUUGGGCGUAAAGGGCUCGUAGGCGGUUCGUCGCGUCCGGUGUGAAAGCCAUCGCUUAACGGUGGAUCUGCGCCGGGUACAGGCGGCCUGGACUGCGGUAAGGGAGACUGGAAUUCCCGGUGUAACGGUGGAAUGUUUAGAUUUCGGGAAGAACACCAAUGGCGAAGCAGGGCUUUUGGGCCGUUACUGA